rnacentral:snRNA from 1 species
AUACUUUCAGGGAUCAUUUCUAUAGUUUGU